GCCGGGGUGGCGAAAUUGGUAGACGCGCUGGUCUCAAAAACCAGUGAGUGCAAGCUCAUGUGGGUUCGAUUCCCUUCCCCGGCA
rnacentral:tRNA from 1 species